UGACGAUCCUAAAAAGUAAGUUAAAUUUGUUUCUAUGUUUGAAAUUGCUUUUUAGAAUACACAGCAAAAUGCACAAAGCGUUCGUUGACAAGAAAUUGGAAGAAUAAGCAAAGACUGAAUUCUUCUACAAAGUCAAAGAGAACCAACACAGUUGCAGAUAUCAAGCCUUGUCUCGAUAUUUCCCAACCAUUUGCAACAUCGACACCAAGAGGAUGCCAGGCAAAGAUAGUGCCGAAAAGCUACAACAUAUUUUCAGCCACCAAUGCUGUAACAUCCGAUUCACUGGUCCACGACCUAAUCACGAUCAACCAAG